GCUUUAAAAGGAAGGGGGUGUGAGGUAGUGAGGCAUAUUAUGUAGCAUGAGUCUAGGCGUUAGUCUCGUGAAUCUAUUAAGCAUGUCUUAUGUAUCUUUAAUUUUAUAAUUUUAUUGCUAAAAAAAUAAACAAAUAUAAAAUUUUCAUAAUUCUAUUAACAAUUCUAAUUCUUCUUUCCGCUUUUCCAUCUUCCUUCGGUACUGAUUUUAGGUAAGUUUCCAAUUCAAGGAUCGCUGCCCCUAACCCAAAUUUUUGCCAUGCAAAAAUCAAAAAUUAUUUACUGCAUAGUUGAUACGGGAAUAAUCUCGGAGAUGAACUUAGAAGAGUAUGUGUUAGACCCGAGCCUUGGCAUGUGCAAUUAAAGUGUAAAAGAGGCCCAAAAUGCACCCAAAUCAGUCCAUAAAUUACACUAGAUAGGUGCCCACUCUUUGAAGGGCCUUUUGGUCAUUUUAACUUAUAUUUUGUAUUAGUUAUAAAAGAAACAUUGUAGGAUUUUUAGAUUUAGUUUUUGAUGAUAUGUGUGAAUCUUGAAAGACCAAAGAACACAAGUCCUCUCUCCUCGAGGCACCAAAACUGAAACUAGGAUACAACAAUAGGGUGGAUUCUCUUUUGUUGUUGCUUGCUUGGAAACGUUGAUGCUAGAGAGGUGCAAUCCGAUCUUGUGUCACGUAAGAGAUAGGUUUAUUGUUAUGUGUAGUGUUAAGGGUCCAAGAGUGUCUAAGAUUAUACCUUUAUGUGGUUUAUCUAUCUAUCUAUCCCUUUACUUUCUUGUAAUCGUGUUUAGUGUUUGUGUUGUAAUCUUGUGUUAUUGUUGUUAUUGUUAAAUCCGAAUCUUGUGCCUUGUGUUCAUCUUGUUCUUCGCAUAUUGUUGUUGUUUUGGUGUGAAAUACACCUUGCUCACCUUGUAUUCUUGUUGUAUUUGUGAAUCCGAGAGAGGUCUCCAAUCGGUCCAAGGAUCUUAGUGAUUUGUGGACUGUUUUGGAAUAUAUUUGUGGACUGUUUUUGAGUGAUUUCACGUCUUUCAAGUUUUUAUCGUAUCAGUAGUGUUAUAAAUCUAGUCACAGUAAAGGAUUCAUGUGAGAAUGUGUCAAAUUAUAUUUAGGAUCCUGAGCAUUUGCUCAUAGUUGUUGGGAAAAUACAAAAUAAUCCCACCCAGGAUAAUAUCCACACAAAUAGCAAUAACAAGAGAGUAACAACGACAUCAAAUAUUAUAACGGGGUAAACAAAAUAUCCAAAUGAAGUAAUACAAUAACACUAUUUUUGGUAGUGUCAAAAGACUAUUACUAUUAUAAAAGAAACAACACUCUUUUAUUUUAUACAACUCACUUUAAUAUUACUCUGACACAAUUAUCUCAUAGACUAUAAAAUAUCUGUGGAUUACUCUUUUUUUUUUCCUCUUUAUUGCUCUCUCUCAAU
rnacentral:lncRNA from 1 species